UAGUUUAGGGUGGAUGUGCACAGUACCUUGAAUCUGGGAAAGCUUUUCCCACAGGUAGUCCCGGGCAGUACAUGGACAUAGGAAUCAGAAGUUCAAAGCUUGUCUGCUGAGCCCAGCAUUUCAGUUCCUGGGAAAGACUUUUCACUGUUAUUUACAGCUCAGGCCAGUUAUUUGGAGAUCAUCACUUCUCUCUGGUUGCAGAGGACCCUGGUCUUGCCCCAUCUCCAUCUGUCUCACCAAUACGGAGUCUCACCAAAGGGCCCGACUUGGAUGACGUCCAUUUGAGAUCAUCCCAGGCCAAGUGGGUGAUUGUUAUUGAAAAGAGGAUACAGUUCGCAAGAAACAGAGGAAAUCAUUGUAAGGAAAUGAGAGAAUGAAUCUUCAUCGAGAACAGUCCAAGAUCGAUUCUUCUGUAACCGGAGGAGGCCCCGCGAAGGUCUCGGCCUAGAGUGCGCCCAUUAAUCACAAAGAAACUUGUGUCAUGCUGUUUCUAUCUCGACCGAGGGAGCUUGUUUAUUGGUUCAGUGACUAAUGGGGCGCCCUCGCCAUGAUCGGAAGCCCAGCUGCCAACUGGAACAAGGUCCAACCCGGACGCUGGUUCUUGGCUGCAUUUGUUUUGAAACAACUGGAUUUUAAUAGCCCAAUAAAGC
rnacentral:lncRNA from 1 species